GACGAACGCUGGCGGCGUGCCUAAUACAUGCAAGUUGAGCGCUGAAGGUUGGUACUUGUACCAACUGGAUGAGCAGCGAACGGGUGAGUAACGCGUGGGGAAUCUGCCUUUGAGCGGGGGACAACAUUUGGAAACGAAUGCUAGUACCGCAUAAAAACUUUAAACACAAGUUUUAAGUUUGAAAGAUGCAAUUGCAUCACUCAAAGAUGAUCCCGCGUUGUAUUAGCUAGUUGGUGAGGUAAAGGCUCACCAAGGCGAUGAUACAUAGCCGACCUGAGAGGGUGAUCGGCCACAUUGGGACUGAGACACGGCCCAAACUCCUACGGGAGGCAGCAGUAGGGAAUCUUCGGCAAUGGACGAAAGUCUGACCGAGCAACGCCGCGUGAGUGAAGAAGGUUUUCGGAUCGUAAAACUCUGUUGGUAGAGAAGAACGUUGGUGAGAGUGGAAAGGUCAUCAAGUGACGGUAACUACCCAGAAAGGGACGGCUAACUACGUG
rnacentral:rRNA from 1 species